AUUGAACGCUGGCGGCAUGCCUUACACAUGCAAGUCGAACGGUAACGCGGGGCAACCUGGCGACGAGUGGCGAACGGGUGAGUAAUAUAUCGGAACGUGCCCAGUAGUGGGGGAUAGCCCGGCGAAAGCCGGAUUAAUACCGCAUGAGACCUGAGGGUGAAAGCGGGGGAUCGCAAGACCUCGCGCUAUUGGAGCGGCCGAUAUCAGAUUAGGUAGUUGGUGGGGUAAAGGCCUACCAAGCCGACGAUCUGUAGCUGGUCUGAGAGGACGACCAGCCACACUGGGACUGAGACACGGCCCAGACUCCUACGGGAGGCAGCAGUGGGGAAUUUUGGACAAUGGGCGCAAGCCUGAUCCAGCCAUGCCGCGUGCGGGAAGAAGGCCUCGGUUGUAACGAC
rnacentral:rRNA from 1 species